rnacentral:rRNA from 1 species
GACGAACGCUGGCGGCGUGCCUAAUACAUGCAAGUCGAACGCAGUGGGGACGGGUGAGUAACACGUGGGUAACCUCCCAUCAGAGGGGAUAACACUUGGAAACAGGUGCUAAACCGAUACUGAUGGAUGGACUCGCGGUGCAUUAGCUAGUUGGUGGGGUAACGGCGCACCAAGGCCACGAUGCAUAGCCGAGCUGAGAGGAUGAUCAGCCACACUGGAACUGAGACACGGCCCAGACUCCUACGGGAGGCAGCAGUAGGGAAUCUUCGACAAUGGACGAAAGUCUGACCGAGCAACGCCGCGUGAGUGAAGAAGGUUUUCGGAUCGUAAAGCUCUGUUGUUAGGGAGGCGGUAUCUAACCAGAAAGCAACGGCUAACUACGUGCCAGCAGCCGCGGUAAUAC